UCCGGGGCGGGGUGCAGGUGGCAGGUCGGUCGCCGGGCACUGGAAGGAGGAAGGAGACGUCAUCACGGAGAGUCGCCAUUGUUCCUAGAGGCUUGGACCAGUGCAGAGUUGGUGGUUGUUCUCCGCCGCUGUGAAGAGCCGGCAAUCCUUCAUCUAAGUCCCGGGCUGCUCACAUCGCGGCGAAGCUUCGGCCAAGCUUCGGUUGCCUCGCCUGCACUGCCGUGACCACGUGGCCGCUGGGUCUCCACGCCAGCCAGGGUGUGAGAUUUCAUGAACAACCCACAAGAAUCUCUGCCCUGCACCGCAGGCUGACCUUCUCCUGAAGUGAUGUUGCCAUCAGCCGGACACUGGGAAGGCGGGUGCAGCAGCAGAUGCCCUGCUUGCAUACUAAAGGAGAGAAUUGUCAAGUUGUUGCAGCAGGAAAUAAUACGAGUUGCGUUGUCAGACUAAAGGAAAUUCUCUCCCAAGUUAUGGUCAUGGGACGGACUACAAGCAACCUUCAGAUUCACAAGGCAGCAGCAGAACGCUGCUCCUCACACAAGAAUUAGCAAGUUUUGCUGCCCUUUUCCUUCCUUCUUUCUUCAGGUCUUGGUACGAGUGUCUUCCAUUCGAGUCACGGGAGGGAGGAAUGCAAGAAGUCUUCAACUACAGAUCAACAAGCGCCACUGCCUUCAGGCCUGGCCAGCACAUGGUCUGUAUUUAUUAAAACAAUAAAGCACACAAUAAUGAAA